CUUUCUCUAGCUCUGUCACACCAUCUCAAUCUGUGUUGAUCAUGAGUAGGUGGAGUGGCUUGUUGAGGAUUGAGACGUUGUCGACGGCGUUGUUGGCUGUCACGAUUUUGUUCUCUUACACGUUGUAGCUAUUCUGUAGAUAUUUGCUCUGACCUAUCUCGUGUUUCCUCCUCCAUAGUGAUGUCCCUUAUAAGCAUUGAAAGUGUUACAACAACAAUGUAUUCUAAUAGGCACGAAACUACAAACUGGCUCUAACUUUUCUAUGCAUUCAAAAUGUGCAUAAAGCACUAUAAGCAAUGCACUCCCGGGCAAAGUUCCAAAAUCAUCACCAAACCACCAUUCCAACGGAACCCAACUCGCUCAAAAUGAAACCCAUCACAACAUUUAUUUUUUGU